rnacentral:rRNA from 1 species
UACGGAGGGUGCGAGCGUUAAUCGGAAUUACUGGGCGUAAAGCGUGCGUAGGUGGUUGAAUAAGUUAUCUGUGAAAUUCCUGGGCUUAACCUGGGCAGGUCAGAUGAUACUGUUUAACUCGAGUAUGGGAGAGGGUAGUGGAAUUUCCGGUGUAGCGGUGAAAUGCGUAGAGAUCGGAAGGAACACCAGUGGCGAAGGCGGCUACCUGGCCUAAUACUGACACUGAGGCACGAAAGCGUGGGGAGCAAACAGG